UCCCGCUCCUGUCUAGUGCGGCUGCAAUUCAAGCCAAGGAUGUUGGAAGACACAAAGAGGGAAGUGCCGACAUACCGGCGGACGCCUUGCCGACCGCGACGUUUUUAUCCCGAUAAAUACAACCUGCUCAUGAAGAACAGGUUGGCCAUUCAUUAUUGCCGAACAUCGUCAAGAUGCAAGAGGGGGAAGAGCCACUUCCUUAUGGCCAGCAGUCGGAUAGCCGUCUAAAGAGCAAGAAACCACCCAGUCUUGUCAUAGCAAUACCCAACCCUGAAGAGAUGAUGCCUCAUGACCCCGCUAAACAGCCCCUUCGGCCAUCUUUGAAGAAAAACACCGGUGGCCAAGCAACCAGCUCUGUGUCCGAGAGUGUCGCCGAAGAUGGAGGCCGGUCAGCCUCAGAAAGAAGGGAAAAGUUUGGAAGACAGACUUCGCUCUCACAAAGUAUUCGCAAGAAUACAGCCCAGUGGUUUGGGAUAGGAGAAGACUGUGAAAGUAAGCAGCAGGUUUGGCAGAGGAAAAGUCUGCGCCACUGCAGCCAACGCUAUGGCAAGCUGAAGCCACAAUUCAGAGAUCCCGACACAGCCACAAACAUCGAACAGAGCCUGGAAUCACCGGUCCCACCCAAGAUGCCUAAGAUUGUGGACCCCCUGGCGCGGGGACGAGCGUUCCGUUACCCAGAAGACAUAGACACUCGCUCCCCCAAGGCUCCCAUCACCCCUGGGGUCACCUCACUCAGCUCCUUUACUAGCCAGCGCUCCGGGUACAGUCGCUUGCCCAAACGUAAGAGGGAGUCUGUUGCCCGCAUGAGCAUCCGUGCAGCAAAUAACCUGCUCAGGGGCCGUAGCGGCUUAGCGGGGUCCCUUACCGGCCGCAACUUUCCCAGGAGGAGCUUUGUCAGGCCCAGCUGGCUGGACGAUGACACUGUGGACUCAGCAGACAUGUCUGGGUCACUCUUUUUUAGCAAGGUCGAUGUCCACGAUGAGUUGUACUCUAUGGCUGAUGAUGUAUUUGAGUCACCACCAAUGUCCGCUGCUUUUGCUCCCAGUGAGCAACCAGACCAGAAAUUCUCAAGCCUUAAGGAUGUAUCUCGAACACCUCGCACACCAACAGCGGCCCAGGAGAAAAGCCAUUCGCGACGUGGCCGUCGCAUCGCUUCCCAAGUGAAGCACUUUGCUUUUGACACCAAAAAGCGUCACUAUGGAAUGGGCGUCGUGGGCAAGUGGCUGAACCGGCACUACCGACGCAGCCUCAGCAGUACCGUCCAGAAGCAGUUGGAUGACUUCCACAGCCAUAGGCCUUACUUUACCUACUGGAUCACCUUUGUCCAUAUUGUAAUCACGUUGCUGUCCUGCUGUACUUAUGGUUUUGCCCCUGUGGGGUUUGCACAACAUUCUAAAACAGACCUAGUGCUGAAGAACAAAGGCAUCUAUGAGAGUGUCAAAUACAUCCAACAACAGAACUUUUGGAUCGGCCCGAGAUCUGAUGACCUAAUUCAUUUGGGGGCCAAGUUUUCUCCAUGUAUCCGUCAGGACAGACAAAUAGUCCAUCUGAUCCAGAAGGCCAAAGAUCUGGAGAAAGAGUCUGGGUGUUGUGUUCAGAAUGACAACUCUGGAUGUGUGCAGACUCUCAGCUCCGACUGCUCUGAGACACUGGCCACUUUCAUCAAAUGGGACAAUGAACUUGUGGAUAUCAGCCGGUCCUCUGGGUCUGUAUGUCACCAGGAUCCCAGAGUAUGUGAAGAGCCUGCUUCUGCAGAGCCUCACACGUGGCCAGAUGACAUCACCCUGUGGCCGGUGUGUACAUAUCCACAAAAAUGGAACCAUACCGGCUACAGACACAUGGAUUGUAACAUCAAGGGUCGACCUUGCUGUAUAGGCACUAAGGGCAGGUGUGAGAUUACAACCAGGGAGUAUUGCUCUUUCAUGCACGGCUACUUCCAUGAGGAUGCCACACUAUGCUCACAGGUCCAUUGUCUGUAUGACGUGUGUGGCCUGCUUCCCUUCCUAAACCCUGAUGUACCUGAUCAGUUCUACCGUUUCUGGUUGUCCCUUUUCCUCCACGCUGGGUUACUACACUGCGUGGUAUCAGUAGUGUUUCAGAUGACCAUAUUGAGAGACCUGGAGAAGCUGGCUGGGUGGGUGCGCAUUUCCAUCAUUUACGUCUUCAGUGGUAUAACUGGAAACCUUGCAUCUUCCCUUUUCCUGCCCUACAGAGCUGAGGGGCCUGCCACUGGUAUCCAUCCUGAGAAAAAAAAAAGUCCCAAGUCUCAAUAUCCACUGUUGCGACGCAUGAAGGCAUGGCCCCUGACCGGGUAGAGCAUUUCAGUGAAGGUGCGGUGGACAGCCAGGACGUGGAUGUGGACCGUCAUGCCGUGAGGCUUGUGGAGGGUCAGGGCAUCCUGAAAGACAACUACAGUGAGCCGAUAAUGAAAGCCACCAGACGUCCUUCCUCGAACCAGCCCAGUGACAGCUCGGGACACAGCGUCAGGAAAUGACGUACCUCAUCCAGCAGGAGAGGGCACUCACCAGACACUGAGAUGAAUGCUGUAAGUGGAUAUGCGGACAAAUGAAUUUUCACUAAUAGUUGAUGUCGAUCAGGGAUGUCCAAUCUUUUACAACUCAGGGUCAUGUACAGAAAGAUUGAAGUGAAAUGCCCCACAUUUAAACAUGUUUAAAAAAAAAUCACAUUUUAAAUGUGUCAUCUAAUAACAGUCAUCUUAUGUUACAGGUUUAUUUUGAAUUCCACUAACUAAUUGUCAAGCUUUCAAUAUCUCAAGGUUUUCUCGUUACCGGGCCAAUUAGAAUAUGCAUCAGGCCACAAGUCGCCCACAAGCUGCGCUUUGGACACCACUGUUCAACCCAAGAUAGACAUUGCUCGGUUACCUUCUCUCUCGAUCUCAAAUACGCUGAUGGCGUCUUCAGGGCUGAGGGAGCGGAACUCGCUGGCCGGCAGCGUGUGUCGACGUCCCUGCGAGACUGGAGAGCGCAUGUGGAGCGGCUUCGGGAACGUCAUGGAGCUCACCACUGACAUGCUUUCAAAACUACUUUCAGAAGUGUAAAGUAAAGAAACCUACGUGGGAACGGCAAAUUAGUUAACUGCCUGAUUGUUUUUUCCCCUUCUUUUUCUCCCGUUUCCUUCUGCUCUGUCGAUCCUGCCGGUAUCGUGCGUAAAGAAGACUGAGCUCCAGCCUUGCGCACCAGGACCUUUUAUAGCCUUCACACAGCGCACCUUAGACCGCGUGGUAAUCCUUAAGUUCCCAGCUGGAUAAGCAAACCUUUUCAACACGUGAGUGAGCUGAAGCUGAACAAUAAUCAUAUUGAGAGGGGGUAAGGAGGGGUUUUUUGUUUUUGCGUGUUGUGACUUAUCCUGGAUCACUUGGUGGUAUGACGAGGAUAUAAGUUCUCUUCGUCAUACCACCAACCCGCGCGCCACAUGUCAACAACAACGUGAAAGGAUUUGGAUCGAAAGCCCUUUGAGCAUUUUGUGUAUCCUUUUAGUGCAGCUUUAUGGUGGCUGUACUGGUAUACCCUUUGAUUUCCAGUGAGACAGUUCAGCGUACGAGAAAAGAUUUGUUUUGGUCUAUAUGUACCCUGCGAAUGAAAAUGAAUGGAUGCAUACAGAUUCAGCACCAUGCAUGUAUAAAGUCGCUCCGGAGUACAAGUCGUAUCAGCCAUAAAAUGCACAAUAGUGAAAAAAACAACAUAUAUAAGUCGCACCGGAGUAUAGGUCGCCUUUUGGGGUAAAUUUACUUGACAAAGUCCAACACCAAAAACAGACAUGAACCAGCUACAACAAGCUAAUGAUACGGUAUGCUAAGCCAAUGGCCCAAAAUAGUUGUGGUAUACAAAUUUUAAUGCAGUCAGUUUCUUUCCCCCGAAGUUUAUAUUGGCUCUUCCCUAGAUUAAUUUGAAAACAUUAUUUUGUGUACAGUAGUCAGACACCUUUAAGACAAAUUAUAGCGCAGAAUGAAAGUAUCCAGACCCAUGUUAGUUGUUGUCUUGCUUUAUUUUAACCCUUUUAUACUGUAGCUCACUUACACUUUUUGUUGAUGCUUUCAUACAACAAUCUCUCUCUCUCUCACUAGUGUUGGCUCGUGAGAGAACGAUUCGUUCAAAAGAACGGAUUUCUUUCAGUGAACGAGAGUGAACGAAUCUUCCUUAAGUGAUUCGUUCUUUGUUCAGUUUAUAUGACUUCAACCAGUAGGUGUCAGUAAUACCCAUUGAAGCUGGUGCCACCUCGCCGUAAAACUAAACGAAGAAGAAAAUGACGUAACUUCCUGUUUACAAACGAGUCGUGAAUUGCAUUUCCCGUUCACCAACGAACGAAUCAGUGACUUUCCCGUUCGCGAAAGAGCCAAUGGGUCAACUGCCUUCGUUCCUGUGCAUCAACGGAUCAGUCAGUGAACGUGUUGCGUCUCCCUCCUGGCGUGAACUAUGUAAGACAGAAUGUAGAUUUGCGAUUUGUCAAGGAAAGAAAGAACCACUCAAUGAAACACCACUUCUUUUAUGCGCGUUUUCUCCAAGCUAACGGCUAAUUUUAUUGCAUGAAGGGAUGGGCCGUUAUGCAACAACGGGGAGAUUAUGCUUCUCUUUGGGUAAUCUCGAUUUUAUAACACUAAUAGUUUUUAAAUAACGUGUAUGCAUAUAUACGCCUAAAUAUUGUCAUCCAAUAUAACCACUGCUAUUUCACAUUGGAUUGAUGGUUUGAAAUUUACUUUUAAUAUUAUUAUUACUUUUAAUAAACAUUUAUGUUAAAACUUG